GGCACAGGUUGCCCAGAGAAGCUGUGGCUGCCCCAUCCCUGGAAGUGUCCAAGGGCAGGCUGGAUGGGGCUUGGAGCAACCUGGGCUAGUGGAAGGUGUCCCUGCCCAUGGCAGGGGGCUUGGAGCUAAGUAGUCUUUAAGUUUCCUUCCACCCAAACCAUUCUGUGACCCUAUGAUUCCAUAACUGUUCAUUAGCUGUUGUGUAAUUAGUUCUGUAAUAGUCAACCUAAAGCUUGCAUACCUUAAUGUAACACACAAGGUACUUCCCUGAACAAUGGAGAGGCAUAACCUUGAUUAUUUAAGUAGGUAUUUACUAUUUCAGUUCUUUAGUAGUAAAAGUUACUCUUUGGGAUUGGUGAUGGUCCUUGUGUUAUUUAAGAAAACUGUUGUGUUGCCUAUCAUUGUCUCUACAGGGAUCAAGCAGCAGAGCAGAGAUGUGACUGCACAGCUCAGCAUGGUUCCCAAUUCUCUUCUAAAUUAAACUAUUUGACUUUAGUAUUUCUAGGCCAUGGUGUUUCCAACACUACCUUUCAAUACCUUGGUGAGCUGAUAAUGCUGACUGUGAUAGUGAGGUUCAAGGCAUGAAAGCCCAAGGACAGGGAAGGAGAACACAUGUUCACUGAAGGACUAGAGCCAACCGGUGCUACACCUGCAUCAUCUCCUCUUCAUUUGUGUGCUGUUGUCAGGGUUAAGGAGGAGGGGGUACCUCAUAUCGAGAGGAGUCAGCAUUGCCUCUGAGAGGGAGGUCAACUUGCGCUGCAUUUUUAGACUGUCAGGCACUGUGGUCUUGCCCUGUGGUCUGUGUAAGUAUUUUUCUCUCUGUACUAAAUAGAGGCUGACUUUCCAUCUAAUUUGCCUGUAAAAGAAAUGCAUGCAAACAGCUGUUCCCUAACAAUAUCUGUCAGUCCGAACUCACCUGAGACAAGAUGAGCUGAUGAUUCAGACUGAGCUUGUCCAAAUACCUUUCUGCAUUGGUGAGACACUAACACUUCAGUUAGUCAAGAUUUAGUCAAUUCUUGACAUCCAGCUUUGCAACUCAUCAAUAUGUAAUGUAAGCCUUCAAAGGUCAAUCUCAGAACAUUGAAAAUCCAUCUUCUCCUGCUGCAAAUACGUCAGGGACACAAAUACACGUGCCAGCCUAGGAGGCCUCCGGGACAGCAACACACUCAGUUUAAGAAGAUUCCUGAAUAAGGGUGCUUCAGGGACAUAGUCAGUUGUCAAUGGUAGUGAUAAAAGAUUGCUAAAGGCAGCAAAAAGUAGUUUCAAAAAUUAAUUCAUUGUUUAAAUUGUUGUAUCCACCUAAAAUCCUAUCUCUGUUGCUCCCGAUUAAGAAAAAUAAAUGGCCUGUUUGGA